AACGAACGCUGGCGGCAUGCCUAACACAUGCAAGUCGAACGGGAUCUUGACUUCGGUCAGGUGAGAGUGGCGGACGGGUGAGUAACACGUGGGAACCUGCCUUUUGGUUCGGGAUAACCGCGGGAAACUGCGGCUAAUACCGGAUACUCCCGAGAGGGGAAAGAUUUAUCGCCAGAAGAGGGCCCGCGUCCGAUUAGGUAGUUGGUGGGGUAAUGGCCUACCAAGCCGACGAUCGGUAGCUGGUCUGAGAGGAUGAUCAGCCACACUGGGACUGAGAUACGGCCCAGACUCCUACGGGAGGCAGCAGUGGGGAAUAUUGGACAAUGGGGGGCAACCCUGAUCCAGCAAUGCCGCGUGAGUGAUGAAGGCCUUAGGGUUGUAAAGCUCUUUUGCCAGGGAAGAUGAUGACUGUACCUGGAGAAUAAGCCCCGGCUAACUUCGUGCCAGCAGCCGCGGUAAU
rnacentral:rRNA from 1 species